UUACAACUGGAACACAAAACUCAACACAGAUUUGAUACAGAACAGCUUAAAAACGGGGGGAAAAACUCUAAGAAGGAAAGCAUGUACACAAUCACAACUGAAUAAUAACAUAUAUGUGUGUGUGUGUGUGUAUACACUUCAUAUACACACGCUUUUUCAAGACCCAAAGAAUCCCAAAAAAAUUAGAUAUACCAAACAAAAACACCCAUCAGUUGGCAAAAAAUAAAUAAGAAGUCAUUCAUGAAAUUUCAAGGCAAAACCACCCAAUCAAAACCCAAAACAUCCUGAAUUACUGGUUACAUUGAAAAACAGAAAUUUCAAACCCCUAAUUAGAAACAGGGGGAAGGGUUUUAAAGAAAUGAACCCUAAUCAAACUGCUUAUAAGAGACUCAUACUACUCCAUUUUGAUUUCCCAUAAAUGUUCAAGAAAUAUACAGUCAGUCAACUAAAUUAGAGAAACAUAUCAAACAGAAAAAGAAAUCAAAAAAGGGGGCACAAAUAAUUUUUGGAGAAACUUCCAUUUUCAUCAUUUUAGUUAUACAAUAAAAUUAUAUACAUAUACACACACAAACACACAUAAAUACAGAGAAAUGAAAAAAGCCAUGAAAACAUAUAGAG
rnacentral:lncRNA from 1 species